GCUACACAUUCUGGAUUAUUCUCUUUAGCAAGACUCCUGGCUGAUGCAUACAGUGCUGCAAGGCAGUGCAGCAGCAAUGCUGCAAUUUGAAAGAUGAGACCAAAAGGAGAUCUGUUUCAUCCCCAGUCCAGCUAAUUCUUGAUUAUAUGGAAAAAAACUGCAAACCUGUUUUCUACUAAGAAGCAUAUAAUAUGCUGUCUCAACAUUUAGUCUGCUUCUGUACCUUCAGAUUCUUCAGCUUUUAUGGUUAUCAAAGCAAUUUUCUGGACAGGGCAAGUGGUACUGUUGUUAAACACACUGUCCUUAAGAGCUUUUCAAAACCAAUUUUCUCUGUUAUCGAAGUCCUGAAUUUGACAGUGCUUUGCAAUACCAACUACGCUCUACCCAUAUUUCUCAGCCCUAUAAAGGAAAGCUUCAUAGCCCAUCACUAUAACUCGUGAUAAUAACAGCUCAGUAGAAAAUACCUGCUUUCCUUCUGGAUACGUAGUGCUUAUUGAUUUUAAAUGCAG
ensembl:lncRNA